UGAGCAAUCUGCCCUUCUCAUCGGAAUAAGCGUUGGAAACGACGUCUAAUGCCGAAUACGACCUCCUUUCGCAUGAUCGGAGGUGGAAAGCUCCGGCGGUGAAGGAUGAGCUCGCGGCCUAUCAGCUAGUUGGUGUGGGUAAUGGCCCACCAAAGCGACGACGGGUAGCCGGCCUGAGAGGGUGACCCGGCCACACGUGGGACUGAGACACGGCCCAGACUCCUACGGGNGCAG
rnacentral:rRNA from 1 species